rnacentral:rRNA from 1 species
UACGUAGGGGGCAAGCGUUGCCCGGAUUUAUUGGGCGUAAAGAGCGUGUAGGCGGUUUGGUAGGUCCGCUGUGAAAACUCGAGGCUCAACCUCGAGACGCCGGUGGAAACCAUCAGACUAGAGUCCGGAAGAGGAGAGUGGAAUUCCUGGUGUAGCGGUGAAAUGCGCAGAUAUCAGGAAGAACACCCGUGGCUAAGGCGGCUCUCUAGUACGGUACUGACGCUGAGACGCGAAAGCGUGGGGAGCGAACAGG